rnacentral:lncRNA from 1 species
UCUCUCUCUCCCCCUCAUUUCGAUCUCUCUCUCCCUCUCUCCUUCUCACUUUCUUUUCUCUCUCUACCACCAUUGAUGGUCAUUACCAAGCUCCAAGAAUCAUUCUAAUACUUAGAUCUAUCCUAAAUCAAGCUCUAAACAUCCAUUUCAUUUGAAUCAAGCCAAGAUUGGAAGAGUUUCUCAACGUUGAAGUCAAAGAA